rnacentral:rRNA from 1 species
GAUGAACGCUGGCGCCGUGCCUAACACAUGCAAGUCGAACGGAGUCAUUUUGGAAAGCUCUUCGGAACUGGAAUCUAUGACUUAGUGGCGGACGGGUGAGUAACGCGUGAGCAAUCUGCCUUUCAGAGGGGGAUAACAGCCGGAAACGGCUGCUAAUACCGCAUAAUGCAUUGGAUUCGCAUGUUUCUGAUGCCAAAGAUUUUAUCGCUGAAAGAUGAGCUCGCGUCUGAUUAGCUAGUUGGCGGGGUAACGGCCCACCAAGGCGACGAUCAGUAGCCGGACUGAGAGGUUGAACGGCCACAUUGGGACUGAGACACGGCCCAGACUCCUACGGGAGGCAGCAGUGGGGAAUAUUGCGCAAUGGGGGCAACCCUGACGCAGCAACGCCGCGUGAUUGAUGAAGGUCUUCGGAUUGUAAAAAUCUUUAAUCAGGGACGAAGAAAAUGACGGUACCUGAAGAAUAAGCUCCGGCUAACUACGUGCCAGCAGCCGCGGUAAUACGUAGGGAGCAAGCGUUAUCCGGAUUUACUGGGUGUAAAGGGCGUGUAGGCGGGCUUGCAAGUUGGAAGUGAAAUCUCGGGGCUUAACCCCGAAACUGCUUUCAAAACUGCGAGUCUUGAGUGAUGGAGAGGCAGGCGGAAUUCCCAGUGUAGCGGUGAAAUGCGUAGAUAUUGGGAGGAACACCAGUGGCGAAGGCGGCCUGCUGGACAUCAACUGACGCUGAGGCGCGAAAGCGUGGGGAGCAAACAGG